AGUCUGCCGCCUGGGAAGUACGNNNGCAAGUAUGAAACUUAAAGGAAUUGGCGGGGGAGCACNNCNAGGGGUGAAGCCUGCGGUUCAAUUGGAGUCAACGCCAGAAAUCUUACCUGGGGAGACAGCAGAAUGAAGGUCAAGCUGAAGACUUUACCAGACACGCUGAGAGGUGGUGCAUGGCCGUCGCCAGCUCGUGCCGUGAGAUGUCCUGUUAAGUCAGGUAACGAGCGAGACCCCUGCGUCUAGUUGCUACCAUUACUCUCUGGAGCAGUGGAGCGAAUUGGACGGACCGCCACAGUUAAUGUGGAGGAAG
rnacentral:rRNA from 1 species